GGCUUGGUGGCGUAAUGGUAAUGCACUCCGUGAUAAUGCAUUUUUAUAUUGAUUGACAGAAAGUCCGGAGUUCAAUUCUCCGUCAAGCCA